UUACGGGAGGCAGCAGUGGGGAAUCUUGGACAAUGGGCGAAAGCCUGAUCCAGCAAUGCCGCGUGCGUGAAGAAGGCCUUCGGGUUGUAAAGCGCUUUUGUCGGGGAGGAAAUCCUAACGGUUAAUAACUGUUGGGGAUGACAGUACCCGAAGAAUAAGGACCGGCUAACUACGUGCCAGCAGCCGCGGUAAUACGUAGGGUCCAAGCGUUAAUCGGAAUUACUGGGCGUAAAGCGUCCGCAGGUGGCUUGAUAAGAUAGACGUGAAAUCCCUGGGCUCAACCUAGGAAUUGCGUUUAUGACUGUCUCGCUAGAGUAUGGGAGAGGGGGGUGGAAUUCCGCGUGCAGCAGUGAAAUGCGUAGAGAUGCGGAGGAACACCGAUGGCGAAGGCAACCCCCUGGCCUAAUACUGACACUCAUGGACGAAAGCGUGGGGAGCAAACAGGAUUAGAUACCCUGGUA
rnacentral:rRNA from 1 species